rnacentral:snoRNA from 1 species
AUUUGCCAAUUAUACUGACUACAACAAUCCGGGAAUGGCUGACUAGCCUCCGCAGUUACACCAUCAACAGCUGGGUUAAGUUGAAAGCCCAAUU